rnacentral:rRNA from 1 species
AUCUGGGCGGCGGAAUUCAGGAUGGCUGGGCGGGGCGGGUUUCGCGCUCGUCUCGGCCGUUUGAUAUUUCCGUCGCCGAUGCAGACGUCGCGACCUGUUCGUCGUCGGUCCCUGCUCGGAGGAAGCGCGAUCGAGUUCGUUGCGGGGCGCGUUUCGGCGUGUUCCGCGGCGAAGACGCGGCUCUCUGGCUGACGGCGGACAGUAAGCAACGGUGGCCGGCGCGGUGUCUCGCACUCCGUGUCCGGUGCCGGUCAGCGACGAUUUCUUCGGGCCUCUUUCCGACCCGUCUUGAAACACGGACCAAGGAGUCUAACAUGCGCGCGAGUCGCGGGGUUUCGAGCGUGCUACGAUGCGCUCGUCACUUCCGAAACCCGUACGUUGAAGGCGUAAUGAAAGUGAACAGGGAAGAUGGCGUUCCGAGUCCACGAACCGUGAUCGAGUAUCGCGGCCGGGCGCCCGCACUCCCGGGGCGUCUUAAUGGCCCGUCGCGGAUGCGGACGGUCGUUCUUCGGGACAGGCCGUCGGUCUGCGACGGACUGA